rnacentral:rRNA from 1 species
AGUGAACGCUGGCGGUAGGCCUAACACAUGCAAGUCGAACGGCAGCACAGUAAGAGCUUGCUCUUACGGGUGGCGAGUGGCGGACGGGUGAGGAAUACAUCGGAAUCUACUUUUUCGUGGGGGAUAACGUAGGGAAACUUACGCUAAUACCGCAUACGACCUACGGGUGAAAGCAGGGGAUCUUCGGACCUUGCGCGAUUGAAUGAGCCGAUGUCGGAUUAGCUAGUUGGCGAGGUAAAGGCCCACCAAGGCGACGAUCCGUAGCUGGUCUGAGAGGAUGAUCGGCCACACUGGAACUGAGACACGGCCCAGACUCCUACGGGAGGCAGCAGUAGGGAAUAUUGCACAAUGGGCGCAAGCCUGAUCCAGCCAUACCGCGUGAGUGAAGAAGGCCUUCGGGUUGUAAAGCCCUGUUGUUGGGAAAGAAAAACAGCAGGUUAAUACCCCGAUGUUCUGACGGUACCCAAAGAGUAAGCACCGGCUAACUUCGUG